rnacentral:rRNA from 1 species
ACGGGAGGCAGCAGUGGGGAAUAUUGGGCAAUGGGCGAAAGCCUGACCCAGCAACGCCGCGUGAAGGAAGAAGGUUUUCGGAUUGUAAACUUCUUUUAUCAGGGACGAAGGAAGUGACGGUACCUGACGAAUAAGCCACGGCUAACUACGUGCCAGCAGCCGCGGUAAUACGUAGGUGGCAAGCGUUAUCCGGAUUUACUGGGUGUAAAGGGCGCGUAGGCGGGGAUGCAAGUCAGAUGUGAAAUCCAUGGGCUUAACCCAUGAACUGCAUUUGAAACUGUAUCUCUUGAGUGUCGGAGAGGUAGACGGAAUUCCUAGUGUAGCGGUGAAAUGCGUAGAUAUUAGGAGGAACACCAGUGGCGAAGGCGGUCUACUGGACGAUAACUGACGCUGAGGCGCGAAAGCGUGGGGAGCAAACAGGAUUAGAUACCCUGGUA